rnacentral:rRNA from 1 species
CGUAGGGCAAGCGUUAUCCGGAUUUACUGGGUGUAAAGGGAGCGUAGACGGAGCAGCAAGUCUGAUGUGAAAGGCAGGGCUCAACCCCUGGACUGCAUUGGAAACUGUUGAUCUUGAGUACCGGAGAGGUAAGCGGAAUUCCUAGUGUAGCGGUGAAAUGCGUAGAUAUUAGGAGGAACACCAGUGGCGAAGGCGGCUUACUGGACGGUAACUGACGUUGAGGCUCGAAAGCGUGGGGAGCAAACAGGAUU